AAAUAGCAUUUCAAUUCAUUCACUGAUAACAUUUUGAUUUGGUUUUGUAGAAAAAGGAGUACCUGCUUUUUGGCUCAAUGCAAUGAAAAACAAUGAAGUGUUAGCUGAAGAGAUUUCAGAGCAUGAUGAAGGUGCUCUCAAGUUUCUCAAAGAUAUCAAGUGGAGCAGGAUAGACAACCCAAAAGGAUUCAAGCUUGAGUUUUAUUUCGAUACUAAUCUUGAUUUCACAAACACUAUUUUGACAAAAGCAUAUCACAUGAUUGAUGAGGAUGAGCCAAUAUUGGAAAAAGCAAUUGGGUGAAGACCCCUUCAAUGGAAAUAAUCAAAUCCAUCUCAGGCAUCAAGGUUCAAGUCCGUGAAAGAAACCACCAACCCGUUGAUGAGGUCACGGUGGCAGUGACUUUGGUGGAGCUGUCGGUUGAUGGU